AGAAUCAACGCUGGCGGCGUGCCUAACACAUGCAAGUCGCACGAGAAAGGGGAGCAAUCCCUGAGUAAAGUGGCGCACGGGUGAGUAACACGUGAAUAAUCUACCUCCGAGUGGGGAAUAACUGAGAGAAAUCUUAGCUAAUACCGCAUAACACUUACGAGUCAAAGCAGCAAUGCGCUUGGAGAGGAGUUCGCGGCCGAUUAGUUAGUUGGCGGGGUAAUGGCCCACCAAGACGAUGAUCGGUAUCCGGCCUGAGAGGGCGCACGGACACACUGGAACUGAAACACGGUCCAGACUCCUACGGGAGGCAGCAGUGGGGAAUUUUGCGCAAUGGGGGAAACCCUGACGCAGCAACGCCGCGUGGAGGAUGAAGCCCCUUGGGGUGUAAACUCCUUUCGAUCGGGAAGAUAAUGGACGGUACCGAUAUAAGAAGCCCCGGCUAACUUCGUGCCAGCAGCCGC
rnacentral:rRNA from 1 species